rnacentral:rRNA from 1 species
AAUAACAAGGCGGGCUGGACACCCCCCGCUGGGCACUGCUUCACGGCGUGCGCGGCGGGGCCGGCCCUGCUGAAUUAUUCACCCGUGUCUUUUGCGUACUUCUUGUUUCCUGGGUGGGCUCGCCCGCCCUCAGGACCAACCACAAACCUUUUGCAAUAGCAAUCAGCGUCAGUAACAACGUAAUUAAUUACAACUUUCAACAACGGAUCUCUUGGUUCUGGCAUCGAUGAAGAACGCAGCGAAAUGCGAUACGUAGUGUGAAUUGCAGAAUUCAGUGAAUCAUCGAAUCUUUGAACGCACAUUGCGCCCUUUGGUAUUCCAAAGGGCAUGCCUGUUCGAGCGUCAUUUGUACCCUCAAGCUUUGCUUGGUGUUGGGCGUCUUUUGUCUCCAGUUCGCUGGAGACUCGCCUUAAAGUCAUUGGCAGCCGGCCUACUGGUUUCGGAGCGCAGCACAAGUCGCGCUCUUUGCCAGCCAAGGUGCAGCGUCCAGCAAGCCUUUUUUUCAACCUUUGACCUCGGAUCAGGUAGGAUACCGCUGAA